CUCCUCUCAGGGUCACACCUGGAGAGUUUCCAGUACUCUAUCAGUCUAUACUACUGGAGGGAGAGUCAAGUAGAGGCCUACCCAUUCCAUUUCUAGCUUGGGCGGUGGCUAGUGAGUGGAAGGCAAACUGCUACAAGU